CCUACGGGAGGCAGCAGUGGGGAAUAUUGCACAAUGGGGGAAACCCUGAUGCAGCGACGCCGCGUGAGUGAAGAAGUAUUUCGGUAUGUAAAGCUCUAUCAGCAGGGAAGAAGAAAGACGUUACCUGACUCAGAAGCCCCGGCUAACUACGUACCAGCAGCCUCGGUAAUACGUAGGGGGCAAGCGUUAUCCGGAUUUACUGGGUGUAAAGGGAGCGUAGACGGCUGUGCAAGUCUGAAGUGAAAGCCCAGGGCUCAACCCUGGGACUGCUUUGGAAACUGUGGAGCUAGAGUGCUGGAGAGGUAAGUGGAAUUCCUAGUGUAGCGGUGAAAUGCGUAGAUAUUAGGAGGAACACCAGUGGCGAAGGCGGCUUACUGGACAGUAACUGACGUUGAGGCUCGAAAGCGUGGGGAGCAAACAGGAUUAGAUACCCGAGUAGUC
rnacentral:rRNA from 1 species